GCAAUAGUAGCUCAGCGUAGAGCGCCGAUUUUGUAAGCCGGAGGCCGAGGGUUAAAAACCCUCCUGUUGCU
rnacentral:tRNA from 1 species